AAAAGAAUACUUAAGAAGCCCUAAAAAAAUAUUAAAAUAAUCAAAAAUAUAUCUUAAAUAAAUCUCAAUCAAGUUCUAAUUUAAUCUUAGUUAAAUUCCUAAUGGACUUCAAUCAACCUUAAACAAAUCCUAAAUUCUAAACCAAAUCCUAAAUCAAAUCCUAGACUCUAAACCAAAUCCUAAAUCAAAUCCUAGACUCUAAACAAAAUCCUAAAUCAAACUCUAGAUAAACCCUAAAUCCUAAAUCAAACCUUAAAUCAAACCCUAGACAAAUCCUAAAUCUGAAAUCAAAUCCUAAAUCAAAUCUUAGAUAAAUCCUAAAAAAACUCUAAACUCUAAACCAAAUCUUAGAUAAAUCCUAGAAAAAUUCUAAAUUCUAAAUCAAAUCCUAGAUAAAAUCUUAAAUCCUAAAUCAAAUCCUAAAUCAAAUCCUCAAUCAAAUCCUAGAUAAAUCUUAAAUCCUAAAACCAAAGCCUAAAUCAAAUCCUAGACAAAUCUUAAAUCUUAAAUCAAAUUAUAGAUAAAUCUUAAAUCCUAAAUCAAACCUUAGAUGAAUAUCUAGAUCCUAAAUCAAAAUCUAAAUCAAAUCCUAAAUAAAUCCUAAAUUUCAAAUAAAUCCUAGAUCAAACCAUAGAUCAUAAACCAAAUCCUAAAUCAAACCCUAGUUAAUUCCUAAAUU
rnacentral:lncRNA from 1 species